GCAAGUCGAACGAGAUUCUACCUUCGGGUAGUUGAUAGUGGCAAACGGGCGAGUAACGCGUACCUAAUCUACCCCAGAGCGGGGCAUAACUAUGGAGACAUAGCUAAUACCCCAUACGCUCUACAAAAUGAAAAUAUGUAGAGGAAAGAUUUAUCGCUUAGGGAGGAGGGUGCGUCCUAUCAGGUAGUUGGUGAGGUAACUGCUCACCAAGCCUAUGACAGGUAACCGGUUUGAGAGGAUGUCC
rnacentral:rRNA from 1 species